AUUGAACGCUGGCGGCAUGCUUUACACAUGCAAGUCGAACGGCAGCGGGGAGGAGCUUGCUUCUCUGCCGGCGAGUGGCGAACGGGUGAGUAAUACAUCGGAACGUGUCGAGAAGAGGGGGAUAACCACCCGAAAGGGUGGCUAAUACCGCAUAAAUUCUGAGGAAGAAAGCUGGGGACCUAGGAAUAGGCUUAGCGCUUUUUGAGCGGCCGAUGUCGGAUUAGCUAGUUGGUGAGGUAAAGGCUCACCAAGGCGAAGAUCUGUAGCGGGUCUGAGAGGAUGAUCCGCCACACUGGGACUGAGACACGGCCCAGACUCCUACGGGAGGCAGCAGUGGGGAAUUUUGGACAAUGGGGGCAACCCUGAUCCAGCCAUGCCGCGUGUAUGAAGAAGGCCUUAGGGUUGUAAAGUACUUUUGUUAGGGAAGAAAAGUCAGCUGUGAAUAAUGGCUGAUACUGACGGUACCUAAAGAAUAAGCACCGGCUAACUACGUG
rnacentral:rRNA from 1 species